ensembl:lncRNA
GGAAGCACAAAGUCCCCUGGUGGGUCACUGGGAGCGAUGGUCCUAGGAGACAUUCCAGAGAGGCCAAGGCUGGGAGGCAAAACCCAUUUUGAUCCAUGACAAUAGCAGACAACUGGAAACCUUACUUUAGGGUGGAAGGGUCUUCCAGAUGCCCCUCAAAUCAACAAGGAGUGUUCCAGCAUCGUGGGAGGUCCAUCAGCCCAUAGGGCAAGUCCUUCCAUCCUCGGUGAUAGGGAUGCAACAGCAAUUCCAGCUGACACUUAUUGAACGCUGGCUGCACACAGCUCCACGCACUGUCGUGUACUAACUCGCUUCAUCUCCAUGAGUGACUGCUGCUGUUGUCCCCAUGUUAUUGACGAGAAAGCUUAGGCAGAAGGGAUUACAUCUUUGGGACAACCGAGAAGAGCGGGGCAGAGCCUCGGCCCGGCCAGCCCGCCCUGGAGCCCACGUCUCCGGCCGUUGGACAGCUCCAGCCGUCACAACGUUCUUCACCGUCUUGAAGUAAAAUCUCCUGGAACUUGUGCCCCUCAGUCCUGGUUCUGCAUUUGGGGGUCUCCCUGCUGAAGCCAGCUCCUCUCCAGCAAGAUGGCCCUGCAGGUGGGCGCCUUCAGCUCCAAGUGUCCCCACCCCAGCUCCUCAGCUCCAGACUGAAAAUGCCAUUAACUGUGGCUCGUGGGCCAUGACGUCAGGAGCCCCCUCCACCCUGGACGCCCUUGUCUGAGCUCCCCUGCAUGUGAAGCCCCCUCGACAGGGGCAGCUGAGAGCAGGAGCCCCGAAGAAGCUCUGACAGCAGCAGGGGGAGCACCAUCUCCAACCUUCCUGGAUCUGUGGUCUAGUCAGGAAUUCUUGGCUACACGGUUCUCAACGUCAUGUGCUCCAGAAUCUUCUAGGUCGAAGCUGCAGACCCGCAGACCCCCCAUCUGACACCCAGCAUUAGGAAGAUAUGGUGAACCCAGAACCUGCAUUUGGAAAAAAAGCCACAAGGCGUUUCUAAGUGGAAAAGGUGGAUGUCUCUCAACUCUACCUUGAGAAACCCAGCCUGAGGUCCCAGCACCUCCCUGGCCACCACCCUCAUGUGAGGGUCAACUCAAACCCCCAGUGUCCUCUCUGCAGGCUGGGGGACCCCCGCCUCCAGCCAUGCUCCCACCUCCGGCCUUGGCAGCUGAGGCCCCCAGCCCAGGACCAUCACGGGGCCAUUGGAAAGCCCGGGGCAGAGGGUAUCCGGCUUCCUCAGCAAAAGCACGCUCCCUCUGCCCCAGCCCCCUUCUCCUUAUUUCUUCCUUCACACCACGCUCAUGCCCACCGCAGGGCCUUAGCACCUGCUAGUCUCUUCCCGAGCUCUCCCUGCGGUUGGUGCCUCUCCCCACCUCCUCACUGAGGCCUUGUCUGACCAUUCCACCUGCAGUUGACCCCUCUCCAGCACAUGACUCUGCUCCAUUUUCUCACAGCACUGAAAUGCCCUGCAUGUUGUCUGCCUCCACUAUAAAGGAAGCCCGUGUCUCUUGUUCCUCUCUGUGCCUCAGUUUCCAUAGCUGUAAAAUGGGAAUAAUGUUACCUCACGGGGCUGCUGGGAUGAUCAAAGUCCACAUACACAUAACACUCAGAACAG